ensembl:lncRNA
GGCUGGUCCAGGGGCCGCCCCAGCCCGGAAGGCGCUGGCCUGGGCCUCAACCUCCUCCCCUGGAUCUGCCCGGAGAGAGUUAACUCAGAGAUCGUGGCUUUUGAUGCGUCCCUGGCGGCCCACCGUGGAAGCCGUGGAAGGAGUGGCAGAAGGACUCUGAAAUUGACCAAAGGCUGAUAACUUUAGUAUUAAAUGAAGAAGUAUUAGGAAGAAGACGCAGGGUCUCCAAAACGAUCUUAUUGUACUUCCCUAACAAACACACCAAAAAGCCUUUUUAAGCCUUCAGCUGGGAGAGGCUCUGAGAUGAAUCCUGGGAACUGAUUGAAAAGUAGUAGUUGGUACUGAGGCUUUUAUUUUAAAGAAGAAAGAUAGGAAGCCUUACCUUGCUGGCUGUGUUUAUAAAAUCGAGGGCUGCCCCCCCCCCCCCCCCCCCGCAAUAUUUAGAAACACCUGGGGCUGGAAGCCUCUGAUAGCUUUCCUAAACUGAAGCAGCUGCUUACCCUGUUCUCCUCACUCUGACAGUCGUUGAAAAAUGUUUUUCAGAGGUGGAGGCGUUUGAAAAUUUAGAAGUCAAGGUGGGAGUAAAACCUUUUCUAGAAUAGCAAUUGGAAAAUCACAGAUAUGUCUCUAAAGAAGUUUUAUGGCCAACCAGCAUAUGGCUUUGAUGUUCACUCAACCAGAGACAGCUUCCAGUAUCUCUCCAGCUUGGGGAAGGAGCCAAUCCUGAUGAUUGCCAUCGUGCGGGAUAUUGUCCCAUACAUACAUAGUAAUUACCAUGGGUUUUUAUGGGUUCCACUGACAUAAGAAAUAAAAUUGUGGUUCUAAAAACCAUAUGAGAAUGAUUUAAAAUUAGAAAUCGUCCCAGCUUGGGACCUUCGGUUCUCCAACUUGAGAGUUAAGGGUUUGUUAAAACAGAUUACUAGGCCCAAACCCAGUGGUGUUCUAAUUCCGUAGAUCUGGGGUGAAGCCAGAUAAUUUGCAUUUCAAACAAGUUGCUGUGGGUCUAAGAGCACCGUGGUUUGGAUCCAGUGCUUGCUUCUCAAACUUAAAAGUCCUUAUGAAUCAUCUAGGAUCUUGUAAAAGUGGCGGUUCUGAUUAAGUAUAUGUGAGGUGGGGCCUGAGUUUCAGAAUUUCAAAUAAGUUCCCAGGUGAUGUGAAUGCCCUGAGGGGACCACACUUUGGUUAGCAAGGGUUAAGAUUAGAAUUCGGAAGUUCCCACAUUUGCUUUGCAUCUGACUCAGCAGAUGUUCCGGAGUGAAUGUUUGUGUCCCCCCAAACUUUGUACGUUUAAAUCCUAACUCCCGGUGUGAUGCUGUUAGAAGGUGGGCCUUCCAGAGGUGCUUGUCAUGAAGGUGGAGCUCUCGUGAAUGGGCUUAGUGCCCUUAGACAAGAGAUUUCAGAAACGUCCCUCACGCCUUCCGCCAUGUGAGGACACAGCAAGAAGACAGCGGCCUAUGAACCAGAAUGGCCUGCUUGGAAAGCCACGCUGGGACGCUCUCUCGCACGUUCAUUACGCCUUCUGUACUUGGUGUUUCCUUUGUUUCUCAAAUAAACCACUUACACUUGAAAUGUUGUCUUCAGAUCAACUUCUGAAGGAAUUCAAACUAAGACAUGUGACAUGCACAAUUCAACUAUGAGCUAAAAAAUAUAUGUGUGCAAAUGUAGUUGAUAGAAAAUGCAGUACUUCAAAAGGAUCUUGAUUUUUCCUG